rnacentral:rRNA from 1 species
AUUGAACGCUGGCGGCAUGCCUUACACAUGCAAGUCGAACGGCAGCGCGGGAGCAAUCCUGGCGGCGAGUGGCGAACGGGUGAGUAAUAUAUCGGAACGUGCCCAGUAGUGGGGGAUAGCCCGGCGAAAGCCGGAUUAAUACCGCAUACGACCUACGGGUGAAAGGGGGGGAUCGCAAGACCUCUCGCUAUUGGAGCGGCCGAUAUCAGAUUAGGUAGUGGGUGGGGUAAAGGCCUACCAAGCCUGCGAUCUGUAGUUGGUCUGAGAGGACGACCAGCCACACUGGGACUGGGACACGGCCCAGACUCCUACGGGAGGCAGCAGUGGGGAAUUUUGGACAAUGGGCGCAAGCCUGAUCCAGCAAUGCCGCGUGCAGGAAGAAGGCCUUCGGGUUGUAAACUGCUUUUGUCAGGGAAGAAAUCCUCUAGGCUAAUACCUUGGGGGGAUGACGGUACCUGAAGAAUAAGCACCGGCUAACUACGUGCCAGCAGCCGCGGUAACAC